rnacentral:rRNA from 1 species
AAUAUUGACAAUGGCGAAGCUGAUCAGCAUGCGCGUGUGUGAGAGCUCGGGUGUAAAGCACUUCAGUGGGAGGAAUGCUCUGUAUACUUGAGCAGUGACGUUACCCACAGAAUAGCACCGGCUAACUCUGUGCCAGCAGCCGCGGUAAUACAGAGGGUGCAAGCGUUAAUCGGAAUUACUGGGCGUAAAGCGCGCGUAGGCGGUUGUAUAAGUUGGAGGUGAAAUCCCCGGGCUCAACCUGGGAAUUGCCUUCAAAACUGUACGGCUAGAGUGUGGGAGAGGAAGGUAGAAUUCCAGGUGUAGCGGUGAAAUGCGUAGAUAUCUGGAGGAAUACCGAUGGCGAAGGCAGCCUUCUGGCCUAACACUGACGCUGAGGUGCGAAAGCAUGGGGAGCAAACAGGAUUAGAUACCCUGGUAGUCCAUGCCGUAAACGAUGUCUACUAGCCGUUGGGGGACUUGAUCCUUUAGUGGCGCAGCUAACGCAUUAAGUAGACCGCCUGGGGAGUACGGUCGCAAGACUAAAACUCAAAUGAAUUGACGGGGGCCCGCACAAGCGGUGGAGCAUGUGGUUUAAUUCGAUGCAACGCGAAGAACCUUACCUGGCCUUGACAUGUCCGGAACCCUGCAGAGACGCGGGGGUGCCUUCGGGAAUCGGAACACAGGUGCUGCAUGGCUGUCGUCAGCUCGUGUCGUGAGAUGUUGGGUUAAGUCCCGCAACGAGCGCAACCCUUGUCCUUAGUUGCCAGCACGUAAUGGUGGGAACUCUAGGGAGACUGCCGGUGACAAACCGGAGGAAGGCGGGGACGACGUCAAGUCAUCAUGGCCCUUACGGCCAGGGCUACACACGUGCUACAAUGGUCGGUACAAAGGGUUGCUAGCCCGCGAGGGUACGCUAAUCUCAAAAAGCCGAUCGUAGUCCGGAUUGGAGUCUGCAACUCGACUCCAUGAAGUCGGAAUCGCUAGUAAUCGCGGAUCAGAAUGCCGCGGUGAAUACGUUCCCGGGCCUUGUACACACCGCCCGUCACACCAUGGGAGUUUACUGCACCAGAAGUAGGUAGCUUAACCGCAAGGAGGGCGCUACCACGGUC